rnacentral:rRNA from 1 species
GACGAACGCUGGCGGCGUGCUUAACACAUGCAAGUCGAACGGAAAGGCCCUGCUUUUGUUGGGUGCUCGAGUGGCGAACGGGUGAGUAACACGUGAGUAACCUGCCCUUGACUUUGGGAUAACUUCAGGAAACUGGGGCUAAUAUCGGAUAGGAGCUCCUGCUGCAUGUGGGGGGUUGGAAAGUUUCGGCGGUGGGGGAUGGACUCGCGGCUUAUCAGCUUGUUGGUGGGGUAGUGGCUUACCAAGGCUUUGACGGGUAGCCGGCCUGAGAGGGUGACCGGCCACAAUGGGACUGAGAUACGGCGCAGACUCCUACGGGAGGCAGCAGUGGAGAAUAUUGCACAAUGAGCGGAAGCCUGAUGCAGCAACGCCGCGUGCGGGAUGCCGGCCUUCGGGUUGUAAACCGCUUUCGCCUGUGACGAAGCGUGAGUGACGGUAAUGGGUAAAGAAGCACCGGCUAACUACGUG